GGAGCGUCCCUAGCAAGCUGAAACGAGGGAUGUGGGGUGUCCCGUGUGCCUCCCCUUACGGCAGCGCUCGGCUUGGCUUCCUUCGCUGGGCAGAGCUGACGGCUCAGGCCGAGGGCUGGGAGCCUGGGGAGCCACAGGUGGUGCCGCUGAAGGUUAUACAAAAAGAAGAAGGUGAAGAGAAAGAAGAGGAGGAGAAGGAAGAGGAGAAACGGAGACCACAUGUGACCUGCAAGCCUAAGCAGUCUGAAUGAUGUCAUGGCACCUGGCAUCCAGCUGGCUUUGAAACCUGUGCCCCAAUGAAGAUGCCGCUACUGAUGGACUCAAACGCUGGAUCUGUACCUUUGACAAGACAAGCCAAUAAUACGAAGCACCUGAAUGCAAUUGACAGUAAGUGCGUUAGUUGUAAAAACUUAUUUUUUUGUUGUUGACAAAUGCUGGAUGUCAUUGAGUAAAAGGCACUGAGU